rnacentral:snoRNA from 2 species
CAGCAGAUGAUGAACACACUCGGAUUCCCCUUUAGUACAUCACAAUGGAUGAUAGAAAUCCGAGCUUCUGAUGCG